GAGGUUGUGGCUCAGUGGUAGAGCGCUCGCCUAGCAUGUGUGAGGCCCUGGGUUAGAUCCUCAGCACCACA
rnacentral:tRNA from 1 species